GUAGGGAAUAUUGCAAAAUGGGCGAAAGCCCGAUGCAGCAACGCCGCGUGGGCGAUGAAGGCCUUCGGGUCGUAAAGCCCUUUUUGAGGGGAUGAGGAAGGACAGUACCCUCAGAAUAAGCCUCGGCUAACUACGUGCCAGCAGCCGCGGUAAAACGUAGGAGGCGAGCGUUAUCCGGAUUUACUGGGCGUAAAGCGCGUGCAGGCGGAUUGGAGAGUUGGAUGUGAAAGCUCCCGGCUUAACUGGGAGAGGUCGUUCAAUACUUCCAGUCUUGAGUGCAGUAGAGGGAAGUGGAAUUCCGGGUGUAGUGGUGAAAUGCGUAGAUAUCAGGAGGAACACCGGCGGUGUAGACGGCUUGCUAGACCAUAACUGACGCUGAGGCACGAAAGCGUGGGUAGCAAACA
rnacentral:rRNA from 1 species